AGUGAACGCUGGCGGCAUGGUUAAGACAUGCAAGUCGAACGAUAAGCAAGACUUCGGCUUGUGGACAGUGGCGAACGGGUGCGUAACACGUGAGCAACCUGCCCUUGAGUAUGGAAUAGCUCGCCGAAAGGCGAAUUAAUACUGUAUGUGACCCUCCAUCGCAUGGUGGAGUGGUUAAAGCUUGUAAUGGCGCUCAAGGAUGGGCUCGCGGCCUAUCAGCUUGUUGGUGAGGUAAAGGCUCACCAAGGCUAAGACGGGUAGCUGGUCUGAGAGGAUGAUCAGCCACACCGGGACUGAGACACGGCCCGGACACCUACGGGUGGCAGCAGUUUCGAAUCAUUCACAAUGGGCGAAAGCCUGAUGAUGCAAUGCCGCGUGGAGGAUGAAGGCCCUAGGGUCGUAAACUCCUGUCAUUAGGGAACAACAAAUAGGUUAAUAGCCUAUUCUGAGUUAACCUAAAGAGGAAGAGGUGGCUAACUCCGUG
rnacentral:rRNA from 1 species